rnacentral:rRNA from 3 species
AACCUUCGGGAGGGCGCUUACCACUUUGUGAUUCAUGACUGGGGUGAAGUCGUAACAAGGUAACCGUAGGGGAACCUGCGGUUGGAUCACCUCCUUACCUUAAAGAA